UACGUAGGGUGCGAGCGUUGUCCGGAAUUAUUGGGCGUAAAGAGCUUGUAGGCGGUCUGUCGCGUCUGCUGUGAAAAUCCGGGGCUCAACCCCGGACUUGCAGUGGGUACGGGCAGACUAGAGUGUGGUAGGGGAGAUUGGAAUUCCUGGUGUAGCGGUGGAAUGCGCAGAUAUCAGGAAGAACACCCGUGGCGAAGGCGGCUCUCUGGGACGGUACUGACGCUGAGACGCGAAAGCGUGGGGAGCGAACAGG
rnacentral:rRNA from 1 species